rnacentral:rRNA from 1 species
AUAGCUACCACAUCUAAGGAAGGCAGCAGGCGCGCAAAUUACCAAUCCCCGACUCGGGGAGGUAGUAAACAGAAAUAAUGACGCAUGAUUUUAAUCGUGCGAUCGGAAUUAGAGGCUUUUAAACCAAGCCUCGAACAAAAAGCGAGGGCAAGUCUGGUGCCAGCAGCCGCGGUAAUACCAGCUCGCUUAGCAUAUAUUAUUGAUGUUGCAGUUAAAACGUUCGUAGUCGACUUUUGUCUGCCAAUGUAUGCUUAGUCGUUGACUACGUCAUACUGUCGGCAGAAGAUGUAUGGCUGCUACAACAUGUGUUCCAUGUGUUGUUGUAUGCCAUACCUUACUUUGAGUGAAUCGGCGUGUUCCACGCAGGCGUAUGCCUUGAACGAUUUACCAUAGUAUAAACAUAUUAUAGCAACAUCCUUCCGUUUGUUCGGGGAUAUUGUUUAUAAAAAUAGGGACGGUUGAGGGCAUUCAUAUUCAACUGCCAGAGGUGAAAUUCUUUGAUUAGUUGAGGAUGAACGAUGGCGAAAGCAUCUGCCAAGGACGUUCCCGUUGAUCAAGAACGAAAGUUAGGGGAUCGAAGAUGAUUAGAUACCGU